UACGGAGGGUGCAAGCGUUAUCCGGAUUCACUGGGUUUAAAGGGUGCGUAGGUGGGCUGGUAAGUCAGUGGUGAAAUCUCCAGGCUUAACUUGGAAACUGCCAUUGAUACUAUCAGUCUUGAAUACCGUGGAGGUCAGCGGAAUAUGUCAUGUAGCGGUGAAAUGCUUAGAUAUGACAUAGAACACCAAUUGCGAAGGCAGCUGGCUACACGAAUAUUGACGCUGAGGCACGAAAGCGUGGGGAUCAAACAGG
rnacentral:rRNA from 1 species